GACCGAAUAGCCAAGCGGCCAAGGCACGGGACUGCAACUCCCGCAUCGACGGUUCGAGUCCGUCUUCGGUCUCCA
rnacentral:tRNA from 1 species